UCCCUGGUGACUCAGCUGUUAAAGAAUCUGCCUGCAAAGCAGGAAACCCAGGUUUGAUUCCUGGGUUGGGAA
rnacentral:tRNA from 1 species